rnacentral:rRNA from 2 species
GAGUAUCGGAGGGGUAAGCGGAAUUCCGGUGUAGCGGUGAAAUGCGUAGAUAUCAGGAGGAACACCGGUGGCGAAGGCGGUUUAUGGACGAUAACUGACGCUGAGGCUCGAAAGCGUGGGGAGCAAACAGGAUUAGAUACCCUGUAGUCCACGCCGUAAACGAUGAAUACUAGGUGUUGGCAAGCAAGCUUGUCAGUGCCGCAGAAACGCAAUAAGUAUUCCACCUGGGGAGUACGUUCGCAAGAAUGAAACUCAAAGGAAUUGCGGGGACCCGCACAAGCGGUGGAGCAUGUGGUUUAAUUCGAAGCAACGCGAAGAACCUUACAGGCCUUGACAUCCCAUUGACCGUUCCUUAAUCGGAGCUUUCCUUCGGGACAAUGGAGAAGGUGGUGCAUGGUUGUCGUCAGCUCGUGUCGUGAGAUGUUGGGUUAAGUCCCGCAACGACGCAACCCUUACGGACAGUAGCCAGCAGGUAAAGCUGGGCACUCUGUCAGGACUGCCAGGAUAACCUGGAGGAAGGUGGGGAUGACGUCAAAUCAUCAUGCCCCUUAUGGCCUGGGCUACCACGUGCUACAAUGGCGUAAACAGAGGGAAGCGACCCCGCGAGGGUGAGCGAAUCCCAAAAUAACGUCUCAGUUCGGAUUGCAGGCUGCAACCCGCCUGCAUGAAGCUGGAAUCGCUAGUAUCGCAGAUCAGCAUGCUGCGGUGAAUACGUUCCCGGGUCUUGUACACACCGCCCGUAA